rnacentral:rRNA from 1 species
GAUGAACGCUGGCGGCGUGCCUAAUACAUGCAAGUCGAGCGAACAGACGAGGAGCUUGCUCCUCUGACGUUAUCGCCGGACGGGUGAGUCACACGUGGUUAACCUACCUAUAAGACUGGGAUAACUUCGGGAAACCGGAGCUAAUACCGGAUAAUAUAUUGAACCGCAUGGUUCAAUAGUGAAAGACGGUUUUGCUGUCACUUAUAGAUGGAUCCGCGCCGCAUUCGCUAGUUGGUAAGGUAACGGCUUACCAAGGCAACGAUGCGUACCCGACCUGAGAGGGAGAUCGGCCACACUGGAACUGAGACACAGUCGAGACUCCUACGGGAGGCAGCAGUAGGGAAUCUUCCGCAAUGGGCGAAAGCCGGACGGAGCAACGCCGCGUGAGGGAUGAAGGUCUUCGGAUCGUAAAACGCUGUUAUUAGGGAAGAAGAAAUGUGUAAGUAACUAUGCACGUCUUGACGGUACCGAAACAGAAAGCCACGGCUAACUACGUG